rfam:Faecalibacterium prausnitzii strain 2789STDY5608869 genome assembly, contig: SCcontig000007
ACAUGAAAACAGGGGCGCCGAAAGGCUGAGAUCCGCACCGUGCGGAGUACCCUUGAACCUGAUCCGGGUAAUGCCGGCGUAGGUAGUUUGCGAAACGUUCCC